rnacentral:rRNA from 1 species
AACUCUAAGUUAUAAUUUAAAGCUACGCCUGCUCCAUGAAAUAAAUAGCCGCAGAUCAACUGUGCUAAGGUAGCAUAAUCAUUAGCCCUUUAAUUAAGGGAUAGAAUGAACGGCCACACGAAUCGCCCCCUGUCUCCGACACUUUCAAUUAACCUCACCUAAGAGUAAAAAAGCUCUUAUAAAUUAAUAAGACGAUAAGACCCUGUCAAACUUCUACCUUUCGUUGAACUGGGGCGGUUAGAUAAUCACACCUUAUUUCAACACCCUAACAAAUCCAAACUAUUUGACUAUGAACCAAGUUACUGCAGGGAUAACAGCGCAAUACUUUUCUAGAGACCUAAUCCAAAAAAGACUUUACGACCUCGAUGUUGAAUUAAAUCCCUCCCUCACGCAAGAGUAAAGGAAGGAAGUCUGUUCGACUUUUAAAUACUU